UUGACAGCCUUGAAGAACGGAACCCUCAGUUUAUGUCCGUAAUGGAGACAGAACAGGCAGCAGCAAUACAAGCUUCUCCGCAUCACCCUAUCAAUGUACCUCAACCCUGACCUGGAAGCAGCUUCCCUAGGGCUGAAAGGGAGUUCAUUCUCCGUGUCCAUUCAGUACAGUACUUAC
ensembl:misc_RNA